CACGGAGCUCGGCCUGGUGGGGCGCGGGCGGCGGGAGGGGCGCGCGCGGGGAGACGGCGGGCGGCGCUCCAACCCCCGGGCCGCGGUGCCCCUCACGUCACCGCUGCUUCCAGCCCGCACUUCACGGGAGCGCGGCUGUCUGCGCCUGGGAGGUCUGUGCACCUGCAGUUCCCAGCGCCGCUGCCGGCGGGGACUGAUCGCCCCAGGGAGGCCAGGCCGGGGCUGAGGAGCGCGGGAAGGCGACCCCCGGGGCUAGGGGCGAAACUGCCGCACUAGGUCGCUUUUCUCUCUCCUUUUUUUUCCCUAGCGCCGACCUGUCGCAGCUUUUCUUUUCCGCACCUGGACUCGGAGGGAUGGAUCUCCCACCGCGGAGGGGGCAGGUCUCGCUCCCCGCAAACGGCGCGCGUACCCGGGAGGAACAGUACUAGUUUUUUUUUUUUUUUUUCCUCUGCGAGUCUGCAAUUAACAUCUUACUUGUUCUGGCUGAUACGGCGACCGAGGUUGGGCGUCUGCGUUGCUUUCUGCAUGGCGAUGGGAUCGUGCCUAUGGGGUCGAAACUUUUGUUUUCGUAAUGCAUCCAGUUCUUUUUCGAGUUUCCCUAGUAACAGUUUGGGCACGGGGGUGACAAGGAGGGAAGGACUGGAGGAGGAGAAGCGACCAGAUUCUCGAUUUAGCAGGGAAAGAGGGAGAGUCGAUAGAAUUGAAUCCAGCAAGGAACCAGAACCGGUGCAUCAACCUCAGGCGUGAGUGAAUUUGCAGUUUGCUCUCCGUCUUCUGGUGCUGAGGAUAUUUCAGCUCCAAUACCUUCCUUCUCUCCCUCCUCUAGUCGGUAUCUCUUCUUGCCUGUUCACUGGGUGCCAGUCCCUGUAUGACAGCUGUUGUACUGUACUACUGUACUUUUCAAGGUACUGUACUGUCAAAUUAAAAAUGUUUUAUUUUUUGUACUUGCUUUUAUGUGUUAUUUGUGGGAAAAGUAUUGUAAACCUACUACAGUACAGUGCUAUAUAGCCAAUUGUGUUAGUUGGGUACCUAGGCUAACUUUGUUGGACUUAAAAAUAGAUUGGACUUACAAACAUGCUCCUAGAAUGAAAAUUGUUCAUAUGGAGGGGCUUACUUUAUUAAGCGAAUGAGUUGGUUGGAAUUUGCAACAUGAUAAACCCCAUAGGUUGAUAUUAGCUGCGCCCACUGGAGUAUUUUCUGUUUUAACAGCUGUGUAACAUAUAUAUGUGUCACAGCUCAGCUAGAGUUCUUUCUUCCCUGGACUUUAUUUCUUGCAGUCACUUCUCAUGUGCCUUGUCUCCAUCUAUAUGGCUGCUUUCAGUUGACUUUAUUUCAGUUUGCCACAUUUCUUGGAUGCCCUGAUUUUAAAAAUUGCUCCAUACUUUAACUUUCCCAUGUAUAAUAAGGCUGUUUAUUCAGUUUGAUUGAAUAAAUAUUUGCUGAGCACCUACUUAACCA
rnacentral:lncRNA from 1 species